AAAAAUGUGUUCAUAGUCACUUGUACCUUAAAUGAACCCCAUAGAUCUAAAAAAUUUACGUAGGAGGAGUUUGAAUUCACUAGGAAACAUGAACUUAAGGUAGUGGAGAAGGAAACUGUGUAUGAAGUUUGCCUUUAACUUUAGACAGUGGUAUAUUUAUACACCUAUUAUCUGAAGUAACUUUUUUUUUUUUUAAGAAUAAAAUACUCAGUGUGUCCAUUUGGAGCCAUGGUUGUGCUUCUCCAGAGCUGUCAGGUAGCACUAGCUUGCUUUGAAGACUGGGCACGUGAAUUACACGCAAGAUUUAACGUCUAAAUUCCUUGUGAAUUAAAAAUGAAAGUGCUGGUGCCAGCUGGUGCUGUCUCAGGGCUCAGGGUCACUGCCCACUUGAAAAUCCUCAUCUUCAGUAUGUAAUGUGCCUGACUUAGGAAAUAGGAAUCAGAAUACUUGUGGGUGGUCUGGGUGCUUUUAGAAACUGCAGUCUUCAGGUGUGGUGCGUGGAGCGCUCUGCACGGGUAGCUCUGGAGCCCUUGAGGUGAGGAGAUGGUGAGAUUUUGUGUUGCCUGUGACUGAGCAGUUUCUGAUUUCAGUGGGAGAAUUUGGCCUAGAGUGUGGCUCUGAAUAAAUACGUGCAGAGAGGUGUGCUGGUUGUGCUGUUAGGGAUGUGGCUCAACUUUUACUCUGUUGUUGUGAGGCCUGGGAGGGGCGGCAGCAUGAAAGCUUGUGUCACCUUCUAACCACCUUCCCUGACGCCAGGUUUGUUUUUAAAUUAGUGGAUGUGUGUGGCUUUCUUUGUCCUAACAUUCCCAGCAAAUUUUUGCUGCUAAGACUAUCACUAUUAAAUAAGUGAGAAUUACAGGGGAAAAUGAUGCUUCAACUCAAAAUGUGAUAUUUUCUUGAAAAUUUUUAUGCUUUAGGAUCUUGUUGGACCCACUUAGUGUAUUCAUAUAAAUGAACCUGAGUAUGAGUGUAUUUUAUGAUAAAAUCCAACACCUUAUAUAUUGCUUGGGGUUAGGGGCCCCUGGAGGGCUUACCCAGUUUUUCUCUACUGUGUUAAUAACUAAUUCUAGCCUGUGGGUUAUUUUAGUCUGUUAGAAGUUAGACUUUGGAAUGUUCAAUAUGGACUGAAAAUUUCCAUCUUUAGUUUGAAAAUCCAUAACUUGUAUCUCGUGUACGAGACCUGAAGCAGGGCUCGUGUGUGCACGCACUGGGCAUACGGCAUUUUUAAUUCUUAGUCAGAUUUCAUCUUGAUCUCAUUCUGGAAGUGGGAGCUCUAGGGAAACCUGGCUUGUUCUGCAGCAAAACCUGUAGAGGGGGCAGCCUGUCAGCGUCUUCUCUCCCCAUCCUGCGCUGAGAGUGGCCAUCAUGUAAGGACUAAGGACUCUCCACUUGAUGCGGACAGCACUCUAAGGGAGAUGCAAAACUUCUUAGCAAUCAAAUGGAUAAACUGUUUGCUUUUUACUUUGUGCUAAGUAUCCCGUGGCCUUUUUUUUCCCCCAAAACUGAUGGGUCCUUGCCAUUCCCAGGAGGCAGAAGGCUGAGUGUUAUGCCGCCCGCCUUACUAGAAUCACACUGGAAACGUUGGUUUUAAAAGAACUUUAGUGUUUUACGUGGGAGGCCAAGUGUGACUGUGGACUGAUUUUCUUGAAGAGAAUUAUGUUUUACAGUUUCAAUUCUAAAUCAUAUUCUAUGCUGCAUGCCAAAAAAAGUAAUAAUGAUGCCUGUUCUUGGAGAGAAAAUAUUCCACCUUAGCACUAGAACUCAGAACAGGUGUUCACAGAGAGCCUUUCAGUGUGCUGUCGGGUCGAGGUCUGCUGUCCUUGGUGUCUCUGUGGAGUCGCAGUGCAGGUGUGAUGGGUUAGAGGGCUCUGCGGACUCUGGUGUCCUCGCACCCGGGUCUUCUCAUCCUGGAAACACGGCUUGUCCUAUAGCCCGUAGAGGGCAGCAGCCUGUCGAGACUGGCCUUUGGUUCUUCCAACCGUGCACUGAGCACAGGCUCUGUGUGUUCCUAGCCAGAGGCCACCAUGGUGAGGACUAAGGACUCUCCAUUUGAUGCGGACACCACUCUAAGGGAGAUGUAGAACUUCUUAGCAAUCAAAUGGAUAAACUGUUGUUUUUACUUUAAAUAGGAAAUUGUUUUCUAAAAGACUAAAAUACUUGAAUUGUUAAACAUAAUCUCAGUUUGUAUUAGUUUUGAAUGAUCCCGUUGAGGGAGUGUUAAUCCAUGAAAUGUGAAUAAAUGGGAAGUAAACAAAAGCCA